rnacentral:rRNA from 1 species
GACGAACGCUGGCGGCGUGCUUAACACAUGCAAGUCGAACGGAAAGGCCCUGCUUUUGUGGGGUGCUCGAGCGGCGAACGGGUGAGUAACACGUGAGUAACCUGCCCUUGACUUUGGGAUAACUUCAGGAAACUGGGGCUAAUACCGGAUAGGAGCUCCUGCUGCAUGGUGGGGGUUGGAAAGUUUCGGCGGUUGGGGAUGGACUCGCGGCUUAUCAGCUUGUUGGUGGGGUAGUGGCUUACCAAGGCUUUGACGGGUAGCCGGCCUGAGAGGGUGACCGGCCACAUUGGGACUGAGGUACGGCCCAGACUCCUACGGGAGGCAGCAGUGGGGAAUAUUGCACAAUGGGCGGAAGCCUGAUGCAGCAACGCCGCGUGCGGGAUGACGGCCUUCGGGUUGUAAACCGCUUUCGCCUGUGACGAAGCGUGAGUGACGGUAAUGGGUAAAGAAGCACCGGCUAACUACGUG